rnacentral:rRNA from 1 species
CCUACGGGAGGCAGCAGUGGGGAAUAUUGGACAAUGGGCGAAAGCCUGAUCCAGCAAUGCCGCGUGAGUGAUGAAGGCCUUAGGGUUGUAAAGCUCUUUUACCAGGGAUGAUAAUGACAGUACCUGGAGAAUAAGCUCCGGCUAACUCCGUGCCAGCAGCCGCGGUAAUACGGAGGGAGCUAGCGUUGUUCGGAAUUACUGGGCGUAAAGCGUACGUAGGCGGCGAUUCAAGUCAGAGGUGAAAGCCUGGAGCUCAACUCCAGAACUGCCUUUGAAACUAGAUUGCUAGAAUCGUGGAGAGGUGAGCGGAAUUCCGAGUGUAGAGGUGAAAUUCGUAGAUAUUCGGAAGAACACCAGUGGCGAAGGCGGCUCACUGGACACGUAUUGACGCUGAGGUACGAAAGCGUGGGGAGCAAACAGGAUUAGAUACCCUGGUAGUCCACGCCGUAAACGAUGAUAACUAGCUGCCAGGGUUCUUAGAACUUUGGUGGCGCNGCUACGCAUUAAGUUAUCCGUCCGUGGGAGGUACGGUCGCGAGAAUAAACUACAAUAGAAGUUAGACGGCGUGAGACGUGCCGAACGGACGACGACGAGGGAGGUAGG